GGGUCAAAACAGAUUUUACUUGUUGAUCUUUCACUUCCUGAUGCAUCUUUUUGACCAAGCAGCUGGUGUAUAAGAUCUAGCUGGCAGCACACAGAACACAUUAGGAAAACAAAGAGAAUGUGUGAUUAAACUGAGAAGAGACAAGAAUCGCAUUUCCUCACUGUUCUGCAUGAAGACAGAAGGUGCUCCGAGAGGAUACAAACUCAGUUUUCAUAUUGGAACUAUGGCCUCUUCCCCCCAUCAGAUUAUUCAAAGAUUACAAGACCAGGAAGGUUUGGAUGCUGUGAAUGGGUAUGAAGAGAGAAAGUGGGCCCCUCCCUUUCACAAUGGAGCUACAUCCUGGGAACAGCCGUGUCACCAGUUCUGGAUCUACUGAGUUUUGAUGCAAAAGUUGGACUUGAAAAGGCUGAGAUGAUGACAGUUCUGACACCAGGUUUGGAUGCAUCUUCAGCAAGGAUGCAGCUCUGAGAGGCUACCAGGCACCAGACUGAGCCCUGACAGGACCAGCCUUCGCCUUGCUGAAGACUUGGGAAUGAGAUCAGGCAGCGCUGUCGGCGGAGGGGCUCGGGACAAACUGCAAAUGACCAAUGUGAUCUGCAAAAUGUCCGCUUUAUCUACAAAAAGAUACCCUUUAUAUACUUUUACUACACCCCAGCGCAUGAUUUCUCUUCUAUUAUUGGUUACGUGAAAGUGUUCACAAUGUAAACAUGCCCUUUUGACCACUUCUAAUUGGAUUAUUGGAGGUGUCCACACAAGGUGAGGACAUAUGUUUAACUCUUGGGACUCCACCUCAAUUUUGGCACAGAUCCUUCUUUGUUUCAGCUUUAGAGCUUGAAGCCAUGAUGAUUGCGCAGCUUUUUUUACUGUCUGUGCCUGGCCUUGUCAAGGCAAGGCCCACAAAAAAUGCAGAGGAAAUUUCUCACACAAUCCUGCUCUCCCGACACAGUACCUUGCACUUAUAGGGGUCUCUAUCAAUGCAGGAAACUUCUCUAUCUAUUAUGCUCUACAAAUAAAUAUUGCUUAUUACAAA